GGUGAACGCUGGCGGCGUGCCUAAGACAUGCAAGUCGAGCGGGCCGCGGGGUUUUACUCCGUGGUCAGCGGCGGACGGGUGAGUAACGCGUGGGUGACCUACCCGGAAGAGGGGGACAACCCGGGGAAACUCGGGCUAAUCCCCCAUGUGGACCCGCCCCUUGGGGUGUGUCCAAAGGGCUUUGCCCGCUUCCGGAUGGGCCCGCGUCCCAUCAGCUAGUUGGUGGGGUAAUGGCCCACCAAGGCGACGACGGGUAGCCGGCCUGAGAGGGUGGCCGGCCACGGGGGCACUGAGACACGGGCCCGACUCCUACGGGAGGCGGCAGUUAGGAAUCUUCCGCAAUGGGCGCAAGCCUGACGGGGCGACGCCGCUUGGAGGAAGCAGCCCUUCGGGGUGUAAACUCCUGAACCCGGGACGAAACCCCCGACGAGGGGACUGACGGUACCGGGGUAAUAGCGCCGGCCAACUCCGUG
rnacentral:rRNA from 1 species